GAUGAAGAACGUAGCGAAAUGCGAUAAGUAGUGUGAAUUGCAGAAUUCAGUGAAUCAUCGAAUCUUUGAACGCACAUUGCGCCCGCUGGAACUCCGGCGGGCACGCCUGUCCGAGCGUCAUUUCAACCCUCAGGCCCCCCUUCGCGGGCGGGCCUGGUGUUGGGGCCCGGCCGCUACCCUGCGGCCGUCCCCUAAAUCCAGUGGCGGCCUCGCCGUGAUCCCUUGCGUAGUAAUGCACCUCGCACCGGAGAGCGCCGUGGCCACGCCGUAAAACCCCCAAUUUUCAAUGGUUGACCUCGGAUCAGGUGGGAAUACCCGCUGAACUUAAGCAUAUCAAUAAGCGGAGGA
rnacentral:misc_RNA from 1 species